AAUGAAAUUGUUAAGUCAUAUGUUAACUGUGUUUUAACAUUUUGAGGGACUACUCAUCUGUUUCCCAAAGUGGCUAUACCAUUUUUGCAAUCCCACCAGCAAU
rnacentral:pre_miRNA from 1 species